rnacentral:lncRNA from 1 species
GCAUAAUUAAGAAUGAUGUAUCCAUUGGAGAGCAAAAAAGAAACAAAAAGGAUGGCAAGAAAAUCAACUCAAGCCAGUUAUAUUAAAGAGAACAAUAUUUAAGAAAAAGUUAUCAAAAGUAAAGAUUGACAAGUGAAAGGAGAAAAGGCAUAGGAAAUGUGGAAAUGGAAAUUUGCCUAGGUGAAAUAAAACAAGGAGGAAAAAAAUUAGGCACAGAAUAAUCAC